GAACUCUCUUCAAGGAACUCUGCAAAAUAGCACCGUAUCUUCGGUAUAAGGUGUGCCUAACUUUGUGAAGGAUUUACUCCGUAAGCAUUGAAGGUUACAACAAAGAGUCCCUCCCGACUGUUUACCAAAAACACAGCACUCUGCUAACUCGUAAGAGGAUGUAUAGGGUGUGACGCCUGCCCGGUGCUCGAAGGUUAAUUGAUGACGUUAGCUCUGCGAAGCGUUUGAUCGAAGCCCGAGUAAACGGCGGCCGUAACUAUAACGGUCCUAAGGUAGCGAAAUUCCUUGUCGAUUAAAUAUCGACCUGCAUGAAUGGCGUAACGAGAUGGGAGCUGUCUCGAAGAGGGAUCCAGUGAAAUUGUAGUGGAGGUGAAAAUUCCUCCUACCCGCGGCAAGACGGAAAGACCCCGUGGACCUUUACUACAGCUUGACACUGCUAUUGGGAUAAAAAUGUGCAGGAUAGGCGGGAGGCUUUGAUCUAUAGACGCCAGUUUAUGGUGAGCCAUUGUUGAGAUACCGCUCUUUUUUAUUCUGAUAGCUAACUAGCUUGAGUUAUCCUCAAGUAGGACAAUGUCUGGUGGGUAGUUUGACUGGGGCGGUCGCCUCCCAAAAUGUAACGGAGGCUUACAAAGGUUGGCUCAGAACGGUUGGAAAU
rnacentral:rRNA from 1 species